CUUCAGUGAUGAUACGAUGACGAGUCGGAACAGGACUCGUACUGUUCUGGGGGUGUCUGGAUCAGAUUCACGUUCUGUGGUUCUGCUCCAGUCCCUCAGAGCAGGGAGUCCUUUUAUUUGAAGACAUCCGAGGCAUUUGUCUGAGAAGG